rnacentral:rRNA from 1 species
GACGAACGCUGGCGGCGUGCUUAACACAUGCAAGUCGAACGGAAAGGCCCUGCUUUUGUGGGGUGCUCGAGUGGCGAACGGGUGAGUAACCCGUGAGUAACCUGCCCUUGACUUUGGGAUAACUUCAGGAACCUGGGGCUAAUGCCGGAAAGGAGCUAAUGCUGCAGGGUGGGGGUUGGAAAGUUUCGGCGGUUGGGGAGGGACGCGUGGCUUCUGAGCUUGUUGGUGGGGAGGUGGCUUACCAAGGCUUUGACGGGUAGCCGGCCGGAGAGGGUGACGGGCAGCAAUGGGAGGACGGUGACGCCGAGACGCCUACUGGGGGAAGCAGUGGGGAAGAAUUCACCAUAGUCGGAGGAAGCAUGCAGGAGCGCCGCGGGGGGGAGGACGGCCGUCGGGGGGUAGACAGCUGUCGCCUGUGACGAAGCGGGAGUGACGGUAACUGGUGAAUAAGCACCGGCUAACUACGUG